rnacentral:rRNA from 1 species
GCCAGACUCCUACGGGAGGCAGCAGUGAGGAAUAUUGGUCAAUGGCCGAAGGGCUGAACCAGCCAAGCCGCGUGAAGGAAUAAGGCCCUACGGGUCGUAAACUUCUUUAGUCAGGGAACAAAGGGAGCCACGCGUGGCGCUGUGAGUGUACCUGAAGAAUAAGCAUCGGCUAACUCCGUGCCAGCAGCCGCGGUAAUACGGAGGAUGCGAGCGUUAUCCGGAUUUAUUGGGUUUAAAGGGUGCGUAGGCGUUGUGGAAAGUCAGCGGAAAAAAUUCGGGGCUCACCCCGGUCCCGCCGUUGAAACUGGCGAACUCGAGAGGGAGAGAAGUAGGCGGAAUGCGCAGUGUAGCGGUGAAAUGCAUAGAUAUUGCGCAGAACUCCGAUUGCGAAGGCAGCCUACCGGCUCCUGUCUGACGCUGAGGCACGAAAGCGUGGGUAUCGAACAGGAUUAGAUACCCUGGUAU